rnacentral:misc_RNA from 1 species
GGUGUAGGGAGCCUUGGGGGGCCGGCACGGGUUCCGGGCCGAACCUCGCGCCCUCAAAGUAGCCACCUCUGCUUCUUUGGCGGGGCACGGAACACCGCAACCGCCCUCCGUCCGGGGGGUGGCCAGCGCCCGCCAGAGGACCAUCGAACUCCGGUCAGUGAACGUUGCCGUCUGAAAAACAAUCAAUAAACUAAAACUUUCAACAACGGAUCUCUUGGUUCUGGCAUCGAUGAAGAACGCAGCGAAAUGCGAUAAGUAAUGUGAAUUGCAGAAUUCAGUGAAUCAUCGAAUCUUUGAACGCACAUUGCGCCCCUCGGUAUUCCGAGGGGCAUGCCUGUUCGAGCGUCAUUACAACCCUCAAGCUCUGCUUGGUGUUGGGCACCGCCCUUCCGCGGGCGCGCCUCAAAGACCUCGGCGGUGGCGUCUUGCCUCGAGCGUAGUAGAAAACACCUCGCUUUGGAGCGCACGGCGCCGCCCGCCGGACGAACCUUUUGAACUUUCUCAAGGUGACCUCGGAUCAGUAGGUGCAUC